rnacentral:lncRNA from 1 species
AUGUAUAUAGUUGGAUUCAUAUGCUGUCCUCUUGCUUUGAUUUUCAUUCAUAACAGUUUGACUCUUGACAAGCUAGAUGGAGGCUUGGAAUGAAGCGGGUCAAACGGAGCAAGUACGAAAAGGAAAGCGUAAUUUGGAUGCGAGGUAAGUAAAGCUUACGCCCUCUUUUGUAAGUUAUGUGUUUAUUCAUAGGUUGUAAAUACGACAAAAGCUAUAUUUGAAAUAUGGUUCCGACACGAAAUGAAACGGGUCGGGACAUAUAAAAUAAUGAUAAACCAUGUUUAAUGGUAAAAUGGGCGAAAUGGUAAUUGGUCACGAGAUGACAUAAGCCUAAACGAAUAAAAAGAGUAAAACGACGAAUUAGUCAUGUGUAGACGAAAAAGAGUUGAAGUUUAAAACAACACCAUUUAAUAUUAAGCACAAAAUAUUUGGUAGUCUAGACCAAACGGGUCAAAUGGUAAUAUUUAUACCAUUUGAUAAUUAACGACUAAUAAGUGUAUGUCGAGUCUCAUGCUCGUAGGGUAAUUGGUUUAUGAAUUAGCGAGGCUAUGAAUUAGCAUAUUAUAGAGACAAGGUCUUAAAACGGGUCAAUAUGUUGACCCGAGCCAGGUACGCUUAUAUAUAUAGAUGUAUAGUUAAAAGUGUAUAACUUCCCUUCACGGGUCAAAAGGAGUAGAUAGGUAAAACGGGUUAAGAAUUCAUAAGAAACCCGUAAUUUGAACCUUGCACAUUAGUAAAUUGAUAUAACGUGAUAUGCAUGAUAUUUUGAAUAUGAUUGAUUGAUCUUUGAUAUUGGUUAAUAUGUAACAUAUUAGAAUUUCGAGAAACUAAUGUAUUGGUAUGUUAGAAAGAGCGAAAUCCGAGAUUUAGGCUUGAGUAUAAUGAACAAAGCAACCAAAAGAUGGAUUUACAGGGACUACCGUAAGUUACGGUAGUACCGUAAGUUACGGUAGCGGUCAGGAGCUUACGGUGUGAGUCUACUGGUUUACGAUGGACCAUUAUUGGAAAUUGACCACCGUAACUUACGGUGAAACCGUAAGUUACGGUAGGGCCUGAAUGUUUAUAAAUUUUAUAUAAUUGUAAAUUUUCAAAUUCAUUUCGAUCGUAGUUUCGAUCAAGUAUCAUUUCUAAGCAUUCUAAUAUAAAUGUUUAUGUAAACAUUUCAGUCUUAGGUACUCAAGGAUUAUGGGUGACGAUCAAGCAACUUUUGAAGGACCGAACACAUACUCUUGAAGCUUCCGCAUAAAUCAACUCGGUUUAAACAAUGUUUAUGAUGUAAACUGUUUGCUAAACAACUUUUGAAAUGUUUAAACGACGUACUCAAUUAUGUUAUGUUGUAUUAUUUUAAAAUUGUAACGUUUAAACAAACCCGUAUUUUUACAAAGUAUAUGUAGUCAUAAUUACAUGUUGUUUGUCGUAUACUUUACAAAAACCAUUAAAUAAUGACAAGGGUGUUACAAAUUGGUAAUCAGAGCUCAUGGUUAAAGAGUAAAUUGUGUUCGGUUCGAGGCUUGAUCGCAAAUCCGGUAAGUACAUGUAUAUUAAUGGUUUGUUAUGUGUUGAAAUGUUGUGAACAACACAUAGGGUUAUCGUGUGAUACACGUUACCUCAAUUAAAUGAUAAAUAUAGUUGACAAAAUUGCGCGCGUUGACGCGUAUAGUAGAAAAGCCUUGUAUUAUAAUACGGGCGAUUAUUGAAGUUGAUAUUACUAAUUCUUGUAAAUGUUUUAAUGGAAGGACACUCGCAUCUGAAGAUAGCGAGAGUUUAACAAAUUGCGGAUAUGAUGAUGGAACGGUCCGAAAUGUGACAAGAAGAGCAUACUCAUCAAGGACCUAAAUCGCGUAACGAUCGCAAAUAAGUAAUGGCAAGGAAUGCCCGUUGGGGCAAGCAUUACCAGUGCACAUUUUAAACUUAUAGUACAAAUAGUAAUAUGCAACAAAUACAUAGUGAAUGACAGUUGUAUAUAGAAUAUGAAACUUGGAAAACCUGGAUAGGUUACCUAUCCAGGAUGACGUUUCCAAGAGAAAUUAAGUAGAGAAUAUGUAUUAUUCACAAAUUGUGAAUAACAAGACAAUAACAGAAUUCAGU